rnacentral:snoRNA from 1 species
AGGACCGAUGAUAAUAGUGUGUCAUGAAAAGAUCUAGGAUUAAUCCAAUUCUGUAGAUCUGAGGUCCAAA